rnacentral:rRNA from 1 species
UACAGAGGUCUCGAGCGUUGUUCGGAUUCAUUAGGCGUAAAGGGUGCGUAGGCGGCUUGUCGCGUCGACUGUGAAAUCCCGCGGCUCAACUGCGGGUCUGCAGUCGAUACGGGCAGGCUAGAGUUCGGUAGGGGAGACUGGAAUUCCUGGUGUAGCGGUGAAAUGCGCAGAUAUCAGGAGGAACACCGAUGGCGAAGGCAGGUCUCUGGGCCGAUACUGACGCUGAGGAGCGAAAGCGUGGGGAGCGAACAGG